rnacentral:rRNA from 1 species
CCUACGGGUGGCUGCAGUGGGGAAUAUUGGACAAUGGGGGCAACCCUGAUCCAGCCAUGCCGCGUGUGUGAAGAAGGCCCUCGGGUUGUAAAGCACUUUCAGUGAGGAAGAACGCCUGGUGGUUAAUACCCAUCAGGAAAGACAUCACUCACAGAAGAAGCACCGGCUAACUCCGUGCCAGCAGCCGCGGUAAUACGGAGGGUGCGAGCGUUAAUCGGAAUUACUGGGCGUAAAGCGCGCGUAGGUGGCUUGAUAAGCCGGUUGUGAAAGCCCCGGGCUCAACCUGGGAACGGCAUCCGGAACUGUCAAGCUAGAGUGCAGGAGAGGAAGGUAGAAUUCCCGGUGUAGCGGUGAAAUGCGUAGAGAGCGGGAGGAAUACCAGUGGCGAAGGCGGCCUUCUGGACUGACACUGACACUGAGGUGCGAAAGCGUGGGUAGCAAACAGGAUUAGAUACCCCUGUAGUC